UGGCAGUCCCUCCUCCUCCCCCCGCCUCCUCCCGAGGGAGGACGUCACGCCACUCCGUGACAUAGAGGUGGAUCUGGCUGGCUAAGUGCUCUCUGGUGAUCACAUCUGGGUACUGGUUCUUAUGGAAAAGAGCCUCUAAGGCCUGGAGCUGGUCUUCCGUGAAGAUGGUCCGGUGUCGCCGAGUCCGUCUCUGGAUCUGGUGGAAGGUCUGCAGCUCGCUCGGGCUGCCGCGGUGGUUCCUGCAGGGCCUGGCCAGGGGGUAGAACAGCUUCAUGGGCCACGCACACCUGGGGUCACCUGGAAGGAAAGCACAAUCGGUUGGGUUGGUCUCCAGAGAGGCGGUGAGCCAAUCCGUUGGUUCUCCAGGGUGGGAAUGAUGGGGCCAUCUGCUUAUCAAUUGCUGUGCAAGUUCUGAGGUUUUACUUGAUUAAAAACAGUACAGGAAACCA